rnacentral:rRNA from 1 species
UACGUAGGUGGCAAGCGUUGUCCGGAUUUACUGGGUGUAAAGGGCGUGUAGCCGGGUUGACAAGUCAGAUGUGAAAUCCUGCGGCUUAACCGCAGAACUGCAUUUGAAACUGUGUGACUGGAGUGCAGGAGAGGUAAGCGGAAUUCCUGGUGUAGCGGUGAAAUGCGUAGAUAUCAGGAGGAACACCAGUGGCGAAGGCGGCUUACUGGACUGUAACUGACGUUGAGGCUCGAAAGCGUGGGGAGCAAACAGG